rnacentral:rRNA from 1 species
UACGGGGGGGCAAGCGUUGUUCGGAAUUACUGGGCGUAAAGGGCUCGUAGGCGGCCAACUAAGUCGGAUGUGAAAUCCCCAGGCUUAACCUGGGAACUGCAUCCGAUACUGGAUGGCUUGAAUUCGGGAGAGGGAUGCAGAAUUCCAGGUGUAGCGGUGAAAUGCGUAGAUAUCUGGAAGAACACCCGUGGCGAAGGCGGCUCUCUGGGACGUGACUGACGCUGAGACGCGAAAGCGUGGGAGCGAACGAGG